rnacentral:rRNA from 1 species
UGGGGAAUCUUGGUCAAUGGGCGCAAGCCUGAACCAGCGACGCCGCGUGAGUGAUGAAGGCCUUCGGGUUGUAAAGCUCUGUGGGGAGAGACGAAAACGUCAGGCGCGAAUAGCUCCUGGCCUUGACGGUACCUCCUUAGCAAGCACCGGCUAACUCUGUGCCAGCAGCCGCGGUAAUACAGAGGGUGCAAACGUUGCUCGGAAUUACUGGGCGUAAAGCGCGUGUAGGCGGACCGAUGUGUCAGGUGUGAAAUCCCCGGGCUCAACCCGGGAACUGCAUUUGAAACUGUCGGCCUUGAGUACCGGAGAGGGUGGCGGAAUUCCUGGUGUAGAGGUGAAAUUCGUAGAUAUCAGGAGGAACACCGGUGGCGAAGGCGGCCACCUGGACGGUUACUGACGCUGAGACGCGAAAGCGUGGGGAGCAAACAGGAUUAGAUACCCUUGUAGUCCCUGAGCGGGCUGGCAAGGCGCAU